CCUACGGGUGGCAGCAGUGAGGAAUAUUGCGCAAUGCACGAGAGUCUGAACCAGCCAAGUAGCGUGAAGGAUGACUGCCCUAUGGGUUGUAAGCUUCUUUUAUAUGGGAAUAAAAUGUUCCACGUGUGGGUUUUUGUAUGUACCAUAUGAAUAUGGAUCGGCUAACUCCGUUCCAGCAGCCGCGGUAAUACGGAGGAUCCGAGCGUUAUCCGGAUUUAUUGGGUUUAAAGGGAGCGUAGGUGGUUUGUUAAGUUAGUUGUGAAAGUUUGCGGCUCAACCGUAAAAUUGCAGUUGAAACUGGCAGUCUUGAGUACAGUAGAGGUGGGCGGAAUUCGUGGUGUAGCGGUGAAAUGCAUAGAUAUCACGCAGAACUCCGAUUGCGAAGGCAGCAUACCGGCGCUCAACUGACGCUCAUGCACGAAAGUGUGGGUAUCGAACAGGAUUAGAUACCCUUGUAGUC
rnacentral:rRNA from 1 species